AUAGUAAAGUGAAUUCAACAGCCUACUGCUCACUUUAAAACACCGGGGUACCUCUGUGCUUCCCAGAUAUUAUCGUUUCCCAUGGCAGGUUCUAAACUGGUAGUCUGAAGCCUAGCUCUGGUCUGCAGACAUGUUUUGUUUGAACUCCACAGUAUUUUUACAAACUUUGAGCCAAAAUGUAAAAAUAGGGAGAUUUCGCACCAAAAAAAUCAGAGUUACUUCACUUUAAUGAGAAUAUGUGACAAGACUAGACUCUCGUGUGGCAUGGAUCCUUCUUCGUAUGACAGUGAGCAGCUGGAACUGGCUAGUGACUACCCUAGGAUGCCACAGUUUCCACCGUUCCCUACCAUUGCCCUGACUUUGGGGCUGAGUUUUCAUUUACUGAUCUUGGGGCCAGUUUUCAUUUACUGAUCUUUGUACUUGCUAUGUUAUUUACCUCAAAGUAAAGAAAUAUUUAUCUGG
rnacentral:lncRNA from 1 species